ensembl:lncRNA
CCCGGAAGUAGGAUUCGUCACGUUAUCACUGAACAACCGGAUAGGAAAAACCUUAAAUUAAGACCAAGAACACUAGAGGUGAGACAUGAUCAUUAAUUAAUAUUAAAAUUAAUAAAUGACAGAUUUAGUGAUAUUUUCAUAAACACCUCCUUUCCUUUUUUUGUUCUCCAUUUUCUUUAGUUCGUCUAUAAGAUUGCUAAACAAGGGGAAGGGUGCAUCCGGCCUCCUCGGCUGUAAUUGGUCCAGCCCAGAGGCGAUCAUGACCAAUUGGCCAAUCCAACACCUUUCAUUAUAUAUACCCUUCCUAAAAUAAAAAAUUUUAAAAAAAUCCAUCGGCCCAUAAAAACAAAAAAUCGCCAGCGGCCCACCGGGCAAAUGCCCGGUAUGCCCGAUGGCCAGUCCAGCUAUGGCUUCUGCCCUGUCUCAUUAUGAUUAUCUGUGUCAGCUGUGUUCCCCGUGUGUUCCCAUGUCCCUCGUUAUCCUUCUGUGUAUUUAUGUCCGCGUCUCCCUCAGUUCUUUGUCGCAUUCUCCCUCUUAGCUGUGUGACUUUCCCCGUGAGUUUAGUUUUCCCAGUUUAGCUUUGUACUGGUUUCUGUAUCGCCUCUUUCCCGUUCUGUUAAUAAAGCUAUAUUUUGAGUUAAGUCCCCGUUCUGGUGAGUUUGCGUUUGGGUCCAAUUCCUGCCUGCACACAGCUGAUUAUGAGAGAAGAAGGCAACCACGACAUGGACCCAGCAGCUCCCAACCCCUCCGCUGAGCUCCGAGCGGACCUAGUUUUCACGGUGCAGUAUCUUUGUCAAGAGUGGGUAGUGCUGCCGGUCCCGGAGUACCAGGAGGUGUUAGCUACCCGUUUACAGAGGAUGGUUUUCGGACUCCCCUGGCUAUUCAGCGUGCUACACCCCCUCAUCCAGGACUUCCUCGUUUCCACUGUACACGUCCGCCCGGAGCUGCCUCUCCAGUAUGACGAGCCGGAGGAUGUUCAGCCCGGUCAGCUGGAGGAUUCGCGGCCUGGCUCGUCUCCUCCCCCUUCCCGGAGAAAACAGCGGUCAUGCCGGUGAUCCCAAGCAGCGGAGCAGCUUUCUUCCUUUGAGAGUGAUCGUGUUUCUCACGUUCCGCUAGAGCAUUCAGCUCCCGGGUUUCCUGACAUUACAUCCUCUUAAUGGGGGUCGCUUGGAUGGGUGACGAAACGUUGGUCCCACUGAAAACGCUACAUCCAGAUGAACGCAGUCAACUUUUCCUGGGAUUUCCUUACCUGGAUGAUGGAGCAUGCAUCAAGACGCCACAAGACCUGCACCAGCUGGGCUCUCACUCCCUCACAGCUAUAAGGCCUCAUGUCUUCUGGGGUGACUCAAACACAAUAAACCACAAAAUAACAGACAAAUUGGGGCAGAUGGAGGAGGGAGAUGACGAGGGAAAAAUUUUGUCUGUGAAAGACGAAAAGGACAUGGAGGGGAAACAAAGAAAACAUAAAGGUGCAUGACGAGGCAUCAAUAAAACAAGAAAAGAGGAAGAUGUGUUUUGUCUGUUGACAGGUAAAACAG